rnacentral:rRNA from 1 species
CCUACGUGAGGCUGCAGUAGGGAAUAUUGCUCAAUGGGGGAAACUCUGAAGCAGCAACGCCGCGUGGAGGAUGAAGGUUUUCGGAUUGUAAACUCCUUUUGUUAGAGAAGAUAAUGACUGUAUCUAACGAAUAAGCACUGGCUAACUCCGUGCCAGCAGCCGCGGUAAUACGGAGGGUGCAAGCGUUAUACGGAGUAACUGGGCGUAAAGAGCGCGUAGGCGGGAUAGUAAGUCAGAUGUGAAAUCCUAUGGCUGAACCGUAGAACUGCAUUUGAAACUGUUAUUCUAGAGUAUGGGAGAGGUAGGUGGAAUUCUUGGUGUAGGGGUAAAAUGCGUAGAGAUCAAGAAGAAUACUGAUUGCGAAGGCGACCUGCUAGAACAUAACUGACGCUGAGGCUCGAAAGCGCGGGUAUCGAACAGGAUUAGAUACCCUUGUAGUC